UACGUAGGGGGCGAGCGUUGUCCGAAGUUACUGGGCGUAAAGAGCGCGUAGGCUGGUCUUUAAGUGAGUGGUGAAAGGUUCGGGCUCAACCCGGACACUGCCUUUCAUACUGGGGACCUUGAGUGUGGGAGAGGCGAGUGGAAUGGUCGGUGUAGCGGUGAAAUGCGUAGAUAUCGAUCGGAACACCCAUGGCGAAGGCAGCUCGCUGGCCUAACACUGACGCUGAGGAGCGAAAGCGUGGGGAGCGAACAGG
rnacentral:rRNA from 1 species